CUAAAGUCAUGGAUUCAAGCACAGAGACUAGAGAAACCACAUGUUGAACCUGGAACAGCUACUAUCAGCCUGGGCCCCUGAAUAAUUGCAUGAGGGAGAGCCACCCACCAGCCUGACAUACCUGCUCUAGAAUUUCAUAUGAGAAACUGAGCCAGGAAGAAAUUACAUCUGUUGCCCAAGGUUACGUGGCUGGUGCAUGGGAGUGACCAUUCUGCUGGCUCAGAGCAUCCCUCAAGUUCCACCCAUCUGGAAAAAAAUCAACUUGAAUGAUGGACAGACCAGCCAUUUCAGUGUAGCUCUAUUGCUUUCCCUUGGCAUGGUCCAGAUGGCCUUCAAUGAUGGAUGCUACCAUUGCUGGGGAAAUGUCACUGUUAGAGAAUAGAAAACUGUUAUUCCAAAGAGUACUGAAGACUGACUGAAUGAGGUCUGGAGCAUUAUUGAAAUGAGUUGCUGUGAAAGAACCUUCUCUCCACCUCAGAGCUGCAGGGCUCCAAGCGUCCCGUUGCCGUCUCCCAUUACCCGGACAGUCAGUGCCAGGGCAGUGAUUGUCAGUUUGCUGAGGCGUGCAUUUUAGGCCAGAUCACUUCGAGGGACCCGCCCUCUUUGCCAAUCUCCCAGCUUUCAAAGGCCUCUGUCCAGCAGUGGAUCAAACACCUAGUAACUCACCCAGGGGCAGAGCUAGUGGAACAAGACGGCUGUGCACACUGAGAUGGAUGCCGAGUUCUACUGAGAGCUGCCUAGAGAUGAAACACUCUCCAAUUAAUUAUCCCACCAGAUUUGCAAUAACGCCAAAGCCCACCAAGCUGUGUAUUUGAAUCAGCACUCUGUUUUUCUCUCUAAUUGAAGCCCUCUUAUU